UCGAGGUUGAGGGAAGAGGUUUGUUAUACCCUUAAGGAACCUUUUGAUAGUGGGGUGUGAUAGUACUGAGUACUUCUCUAUGGGUUGGUGAAAUGCUGUGAUGGGUGCUAGGUGUACCCUGAGAGAGCUCAGGGAUAACCCAGAUUUUUUAAGGGUCAGGGCAUAUUCCAGAAUUUGUGGGAGAGUUGCUGACACUGGAGAGAUUGGUUGGGAUGUACACCAAAUCUGAAACCUGGACCACUUCUGCAGAUAAGUGUAUCACAUGGAGGGCUUUCUACUGUGUAACAGAACUUCUUGUACUUCCCUUGAGCAUGAGCUUUCUACGUGCUGGAGCCACUAGGAGCCAUGCUUUGUGAUGGAGAAUCCCCACAUUGGGAUGUAUAGUACGUCCUUUGUUCUGUGAGAGGAGGUGCAGAGUGGUCAAAAGGAAGAUCGUUGGGCACAUCACGAGCUGCAUCAGGACCUGCACAGAAGAGGAAAUGGAGGAAAGGCCUUUGUUCCAGGGGGAAAAGAAAGCAUCGCCCAGAAAGUGCUGUCCCAUCCCUGCCUUGGAGUAAUAUCAUGGACACUUUUGAUUCCAGUGACCAUUUGCCUUGUAUUGUGAGUCCGUUUAAAUGCAUGCCCAUCCUAUGAGUGAUGCCUGGGUGGUAAGGAGCAACGAUGGUGACGCCUGCAAGAAGGGAAUCCCUUUGCACGCUAUGGCUGGGUUCUUCCACCAAUCCAGGGAGUUUUUGACCUGUAACAGCAGUACCGUGAGGCGUGGGUGCCAGAUUGUGGUCUCGGUGCCUGCAGUUGCAGAGGAUAUCAAGCGAGAUGGUGAUCACUUUCAGCUAUCCCUGAGGGGACCUCCCACUCUCUUUUUUGACCUGUGAGAGGAGUCCACAGAUGGUUUCUUCGACCCACUAUCCUUCAAAGUUGAAGGUUGGGGGGGAGACUCACACCUGUCUGAGGACUGGGGUAGGAGAGCUACCGUCAUAAAGAUGAUUUUUUGGCCAAGCUUUCUGUCCUUGCAGGAUCUUUGACAGAGUUGCUGGCAGAGGAAGCACUUCUGCUGGAUAUAGCCCUCACCAAGGCAGCAGAUGCACUGGUAGUGCUUGUCCGUGAUCAGGAUCUCCUUACUGCAAGUGCAACUCUUCCUUAAACCCGAAGAGCUGUGCAUACUCUUGUCUGGGGGUUCCUCCCAUUGAGAGUUUGACCAAAGUCCUUUCUUCUUUUUUUUUCCUCUUGGCAAUGGCCAAAUAAACAGUAAAAUGGGGAAAAGAAACAAAAGAGGCUUCAAAGGAAGCUAAAAACGUGCAAUUGUAAACGAGUUAACAAUCCGCAAAUGGACAGCUAAAUCUCUGUCUCCUGCCAGGGGUGGUUGAGAAGGAACUGAGAUCUGUUAGCCUCUGUGCGCUGGCUACCCUCCUGGUGUAGCAGAAGAAGAGACUGCGCAUGUGUGGGCCCAAUGGACACUGCUACUGAACUUCUCCGAUCAACAGCAUAGGGACUCAUACACACCUACAGUGGAGCACCCGCAGGGACGCUACUUGAAGAAGAACAUUGAUGUGACCAAUUAUACUAUUACUGUGAAUGUGGGAGGAAAGAGGAGGUUUAUAGAUAAAUUCCUGGGCCAUAGUUACCAAGGGAGUGGUGCGAGCAGGAAUAUUGUCCACACCUUUGUUUACUGGUCAUGGCCACAGCCAUGGUUCUUCUUCUGGAGGGGUAAGGGUGGGGUGCCAGGAACUAAAAGACCAAUAUGUAGGUAUAUGAGGUUUCAAACGGUAUUCUGGAGGAAGCGUACAAAACAGCUAAAGGCACUUGAUAGAAACAGUUUCUGUGUUAUCCUGUUGGCAGUUGGUGAGACAUUGAUUUCAGGGUGGGAUAGAGGCUAGAAGGAGGCCAUAGUGUGUGAUAUCCCAUACACUGCAGGAGUUUUGUGAGAACUGUCUGAGAACCUUUUUCAAUCACCAGUCACUUGAAGUCUUGAUGAUAGCAUCCUCACUGCAAUACUAUAUAAACGUAUCCUUUCUCUUUGAGAGAUUAAGCAGAGUCAAGAAACUUAACAGAGUCAAGAAAAUAGAAUAACUUUCUCAUAGAAAUUUUAAAAAGUAAACAAGGAAACUAAAUCAUGCCAAACCAAUCAAAUUUCCUUCUUUGAUGGGGUUACAGGCCUAAUGGAUGUGGGGGAGGAGUAGACAAGAUAUAUCUUGAUUUUAGUAAGGCUUUUGACACAAACAUACAUGACAUUCUCAUAAGCAAACAGGAUAAACGUCGUCUAGAUUAAUUUCUAUAAGAUGGAUGCACAAUUUGUUGAAUGACUGUAAGAGCAAUUAUCAGUGGUUCAGUAUGAAACUGAGUCCCACAGGGGUGAGUCCUGCAUCCAGCACUAUUCAAUAUUUUCAUCAAUGGCUUGGAUAAUAGAGUGGAGAGUCUGAUUAUAAAAUUUACAGAUGGGAGAGGUUGUAUGCACUUUGGAGAAGAGGAGUAGAAUUCAAAAUGGCCUUGACAAAUUGGAGAAUUGGUCUGAGUUCAACAAGAUGACAUUCAAUAAAGACAAGUGCAAAGUACUUCACUGAGGAAGGAAAAAUCAAAUGCAAAACUGUAAA